ACGAUCCAUGGCAACCUGAAUAGCUCCGGCUUGGGAGGCUCCACCGCACCUGCACUUAUAUUUAUAGCCAAACUGUGGCCCCCCGGUCGUUCCGAUGCGGGUGGCUCCAAUAAAGGCGGGCGCACCGAACCCGGAGCCGUUCCAGCUCUCGAGGCGUAUCCUCCCACGAUCUCCUAAGCCUCGUUCUCCUUAAUUGCAUUCUUCAUGCAGAACACUCCGGGCGGUGUGUAUCCCACGGCCCACGUAUCUCCGCUCGCGCCCAGGCCGCAUCCGCCUCGAAGAACGCGCGUAUCGCGGCCGCUUAACUGACACUCCUUGCAAGCAGCAACUGGCGAUCUGAUUUCCCAGGUAACGCCUCAAUUAGCAUUUAAUACCCUUCUGGUGUUCCCCAGGCGACGCUUGGAGAAGAGGAGAAACACGAUCGUAGCUGGCCACGGAGAAAUCUCGUCGAGCGGCAAGCGACAGGCGCGUGACCAACGAGCGGAAUU
rnacentral:lncRNA from 1 species